rnacentral:rRNA from 1 species
CCUACGGGGGGCAGCAGUGAGGAAUAUUGGUCAAUGGGCGCGAGCCUGAACCAGCCAAGCAGCGUGAAGGAUGACUGCCCUACGUGUUGUAAACUUCUUUUAUAAAGGAAUAAAGUGAGGCACGUGUGCCUUUUUGUAUGUACUUUAUGAAUAAGGAUCGGCUAACUCCGUGCCAGCAGCCGCGGUAAUACGGAGGAUCCGAGCGUUAUCCGGAUUUAUUGGGUUUAAAGGGAGCGUAGAUGGGUUGUUAAGUCAGUGGUGAAAGUCUGCGGCUCAACCGUAAAAUUGCAAUUGAUACUGGCAGCCUUGAGUACAGUUGAGGUAGGCGGAAUGCGUGGUGUAGCGGUGAAAUGCUUAGAUAUCGCGAAGAACUCCGAUUGCGAAGGCAGCUUACUAAACUGCCACUGACAUUGAGGCUCGAAAGUGUGGGUAUCGAACAGGAUUAGAUACCCGGGUAGUC